rnacentral:rRNA from 1 species
AUUGAACGCUGGCGGCAGGCUUAACACAUGCAAGUCGAGCGGGGUGAUGGUGCUUGCACUAUCACUUAGCGGCGGACGGGUGAGUAAUGCUUAGGAAUCUGCCUAUUAGUGGGGGACGACAUCUCGAAGGGGAUGCUAAUACCGCAUACGUCCUACGGGAGAAAGCAGGGGAUCACUUGUGACCUUGCGCUAAUAGAUGAGCCUAAGUCGGAUUAGCUAGUUGGUGGGGUAAAGGCCUACCAAGGCGACGAUCUGUAGCGGGUCUGAGAGGAUGAUCCGCCACACUGGGACUGAGACACGGCCCAGAAUCCUACGGGAGGCAGCAGUGGGGAAUAUUGGACAAUGGGGGGAACCCUGAUCCAGCCAUGCCGCGUGUGUGAAGAAGGCCUUAUGGUUGUAAAGCACUUUAAGCGAGGAGGAGGCUCUUUUGGUUAAUACCCAGGACGAGUGGACGUUACUCGCAGAAUAAGCACCGGCUAACUCUGUGCCAGCCGCCGCGGUAAUAC